rnacentral:lncRNA from 1 species
UCAAUCUCAGACGGAGGAAUCACAUGCGAAGUAUCAGAUCUAUAUCAUUGAAGCAUCGAUAUGUGAAACAUAUUAUGAAUCUUUUCUAGUUCUAGUGGCAACAACAAUCUAUAUGCAACCGGUUCGAUAAGCUCGAUAAUCUCAUACGGCCUGAUGAACCUCAGACUUAAUUUGCCUUUUCUACCAAAUCUGAGUAUUUUCUUCCAC